AUUCAGCUUUCUCCAACUCACCCUCAUCCAGGCCAAUGAUGGCUUAGAAGAGAAGAAAACAAAGCAUCUGCCAACAAGAGUAGAGGUUUGAAGAGACAUGAUAGAGGUUGGUGACUCUCAAAUGGAUAUGAACUGGCAUGGUUUUCACUGUGCAGGAUGGCAUGAACCUUGGAUUCCACAACCACACCUCGCCUCGGCCAUCAAUGGAAUUUACUGAACACUUACUAUGUGCAGGGCACUGUACUAAGCAGUUGUGAGAGAAAAUGACCCAUUAUUGUUACUUGUGGGGAUUAAACUUUGCAUACAAUUUAUGUAAAGCGAAUGUCUUGUGCUCUAGAACCACUGAGGAAUUGGAUGCCACACGCAGACUAAUUCUAAGUCUAUUAUAAAGAUUUUGA